UCGAUACGGGGGGGUAUACCCUUAAAAUGAAAAAUCCCAAACUUUGGAGGUCCAUAUCUCGGCUUCUAUGGGCACUAUCGGGAAAAUUCCAACGGUUUUGACUUAGUUUCGUCCUUCUGAAUCCAACGAGACCAUCCGCAAGGUCGUAGCUCUUAUAUUAGCUGAGAUCUCGCAUUUUUGUAGCCCAUUUUUGGGCUCAAAAACGGGGUCGAAAAUUGACUUUUUUACGAAUUUUCAAAGUGCUAUAAUUCCACUUGUUCUGGUCGAAUUCCGUCAUAAUCCGGUGUUUUCGUAAUUUAGGUGAUGGGAAUAAGCCACUGAUAGGGGUUUCUAUAGCUAAUUUCGGGUUUAAAGAAAAUCGAUUUUUCGCAUUUUCAAAGUGCUGUAAUUCCCUUAGUUUUUCUCGAAACUCAUUAUAACCCGGUGUUUUCGUGUUGUAGGUGAUGGGAACAAGCCGCUGGUAUAGUUAGUUCAAAUUCGAAAAAAAUCAAUUUUUGGUGAAAAAUUCGAUACGGGGGGGUAUACCCUUAAAAUGAAAAAUCCCAAAUUUUGGAGGUCCAUAUCUCGGCUUCUAUGGGCACUAUCGGGAAAAUUCCAACGGUUUUGACUUAGU